UAACAAUGUAAAUUUUAUAAACUUACUGUUUUCUGCCUCUUGCUGAAUGCAAAAUUUUACAGUUGUAUCAUUCUGAUAUAAGUAAUCAUAAAAGGAACACUUUGUCUUUUAGAGAAGUAUUGUUCUUUGAAAAGUUAUAAGAAAUUGUCUUUAGUUCUUGGAUUGUGACUAACAUUUCAUGUAAAUAGUUGCUAAAAUUAUGCAGUUAGGUGAGACCUAUUAAUGACACCUUAAAAAGGUUUUGUGCUGUUGUCAGCUUGGAAAAUAUGUCUUCUGGAAGCUGUAAUGAGAUUAUCUCAUUAACCCUGGAACAGUCAAAUUAUUCACUGUUUUGUGUGCUUAAACCAAACUAGAAAAUAGUGCACAAUCAUUAAAUGAAUUAUCUUUUCUUAGUAAAGUACCAAGCACUCCACGUUGUACAGCCUCUAAACCAACAGAAAGGUGAUUCCUGGUCCAUCAAGACAGUAGUAAUUAGAGAGACAUAAAUAACUCUGUGGUUAAUAAAACAUCCAUCCUUAUACAAAUUUGUCAGCAGUAAUGGAUUUCUGAACACACCCACACCAGAGGUAAUUAAAAUUCUAUAAGUACAUUCAAAGGUUAAUUUAUACUUAAGAAUUAAAGAAUUAUCACCUGUCCCCAGCCUAGACUAUGAAGGCAUAUUGAGUCAGAAACUUUUUUUUUUUUGGGGGGGGGUACUAGGAGUGAAUCCAGAUCCAAGGGUGUUUUACCACUGAACCACACCCCCCCCCCCCAGUCCUUUUUAUUUCUUACUUUCUUGCUAACUUGAUGAAGGUCUGGCCAACUUGCUGAGGCUGGCCUUGAACUUGUGAUCCUCUAGUCUCAGUUCCCCUCCAUCCACCCCCAAUGCUGAGUCACUGAAAUUACAUGGAUGUGUCCCCACUUCUGACUCUAAAGUCAGAAUUUUUAUAUAUUUAUUGUGUGUGUGUGUGUGUGUAUGUGUGUGUAGUGCUGGGAAUUGAACCCAGGGCCUUGUGCAUGCAAGGCAAGUACUUUACUGAUUCAGCUAUAUCCCCAGACAAGUCAGAAAUUUUCUAUCACUGUUGAUUUUUAUGUUUUGGGGAGAAACCAUAGUGCUGUUUUAAUAAGGAACCAACGUUUCUCACUUUACUAGCAUUUACAUUACUAAGGACAUUGGUAAUACCAUCCAAAAGCUAUGUAAAGUACCAAGUACCCCUCUAAACCAACAGAAAGGUGAUUCUUGAUCCAUCAAGAAGGUAGUAUUUACCCCUAAGCAAUGAUUUUGUAAAUAUAUACAAUUUUAGUUUUAUGCCAUGUAUCUAAUGUUUACAAAUUAACCUUUAACCAGUGACCCAAAGUCUUUUAGAUUCCUGUAAUACAGACUGC
rnacentral:lncRNA from 1 species